rnacentral:rRNA from 1 species
GAUGAACGCUAGCGGCAGGCCUAAUACAUGCAAGUCGAACGGUGUAGCAAUACACAGUGGCGCACGGGUGCGCAACACGUAUGCAACCUACCUUACAUUGGGGGAUAGCCUUUCGAAAGGGAGAUUAAUACCGCAUAAGACAGUAACUAGGCAUCUAGUAGCUGUUAAAGAUUUAUCGAUGUAAGCUGGGCAUGCGUCCAAUUAGUUAGUUGACGAGGUAAUGGCUCACCAAGACGAUGAUUGGUAGGGGAACUGAGAGGUCGAUCCCCCACAAUGGCACUGAGAUACGGGCCAGACUCCUACGGGAGGCAGCAGUAGGGAAUAUUGGGCAAUGGGCGCAAGCCGGACCCAGCCAUGCCGCGUGCAGGAAGAAGGCGUUAUGCGUUGUAAACUGCUUUUAUACAGGAAGAAACGACCCUUGCGAGGGGCAUUGACGGUACUGUAUGAAUAAGCACCGGCUAACUCCGUGCCAGCCGCCACCGUAACAC